ACAGUCACUGACAUUAGAUACCCGUGUAGUCCCAGCCGUAAACGAUGUGCGUUAGGUGUAUCGACGACCACGAGUUGUCGAGGUGCCGAAGGGAAACCGUGAAACGUACCGCCUGGGAAGUACGGUCGCAAGGCUGAAACUUAAAGGAAUUGGCGGGGGAGCACCACAACAGGUGGAGCCUGCGGUUUAAUUGGACUCAACGCCGGACAUCUCACCGGAUAAGACAGCUGAAUGAUUGCCGGGCUGAAGACUCUGCAUGACUAGCUG
rnacentral:rRNA from 1 species